rnacentral:tRNA from 1 species
UUAAUUGAAGCCAAAAAGAGGCCUACCACUGUUAAUGGUAUUACUGAAUUUUUAUUCCUAUUAAA